AGUGAACGCUGGCGGUAGGCCUAACACAUGCAAGUCGAACGGCAGCACAGUAAGAGCUUGCUCUUACGGGUGGCGAGUGGCGGACGGGUGAGGAAUACAUCGGAAUCUACUUUUUCGUGGGGGAUAACGUAGGGGAACUUACGCUAAUACCGCAUACGACCUACGGGUGAAAGCAUGGGAUCUUCGGACCUUGCGCGAGUGAAUGAGCCGAUGUCGGAAUAGCUAGUUGGCGGGGUAAAGGCCCACCAAGGCGACGAUCCGUAGCUGGUCUGAGAGGAUGAUCAGCCACACUGGAACUGAGACACGGUCCAGACUCCUACGGGAGGCAGCAGUGGGGAAUAUUGGACAAUGGGCGCAAGCCUGAUCCAGCCAUACCGCGUGGGUGAAGAAGGCCUUCGGGUUGUAAAGCCCUUUUGUUGGGAAAGAAAAGCAGCAGGUUAAUACCCCGCUGUUCUGACGGUACCCAAAGAAUAAGCACCGGCUAACUUCGUG
rnacentral:rRNA from 1 species